rnacentral:rRNA from 1 species
GUAGCGGCGAGUGAAGCGGCAAGAGCUCAGAUUUGAAAUCGUGGGCACGAGUUGUAGAGUGUAGGCGGGAGUCUCGGUGUCCAAGUCCCUUGCCUGAGAGGGUGAGAGCCCCGUGGGGUGCGCGAAGCUUGCUGACGAGUCGAGUUGUUUGGGAAUGCAGCUCGGGUGGUAAAUUCCAUCUAAGGCUAAAUACUGGCGAGAGACCGAUAGCGAACAAGUACUGUGAAGGAAAGAUGAAAAGCACUUUGAAAAGAGAGUGAAACAGCACGUGAAAUUGUUGAAAGGGAAGGGUAUUGGGCCCGACAUGGGGAGUGCGCACCGCUGUCUCUUGUAGGCGGCGCUCUGGGCGCUCUCUGGGCCAGCAUCGGUUCUUGCUGCGGCCGGAAAGUGGCUCUUCGGAGUGUUAUAGCCGGCGCGUGCGGGGACCGAGGUCUGUCUCGGAUGCUGGCACAACGGCGCAAUACCGCCCG